rnacentral:rRNA from 1 species
CCUACGGGGGGCAGCAGUGGGGAAUAUUGGGCAAUGGGCGCAAGCCUGACCCAGCAACGCCGCGUGAAGGAAGAAGGCUUUCGGGUUGUAAACUUCUUUUCUCAGGGACGAAGAAAGUGACGGUACCUGAGGAAUAAGCCACGGCUAACGACGUGCCAGCAGCCGCGGGAAUACGUAGGUGGCAAGCGUUAUCCGGAUUUACUGGGUGUAAAGGGCGUGUAGGCGGGAAAGCAAGUCAGAUGUGAAAACCAUGGGCUCAACCUGUGGCCUGCCUUUGAAACUGUUUUUCUUGAGUACUGGAGAGGCAGCCGGAAUUCCUCGUGUAGCGGUGCAAUGCGUAGAUAUGAGGCGGAACACCAGUGGCGAAGGCGGUCUGCUGGACAGCACCUGACGCUGUGGCGCGAAAGCGUGGGGAGCAAACAGGAUUAGAUACCCCUGUAGUC